AUUUAACUUACGAGUUCCAGAUGGGACGAAACGUGCGUCUUGGAU
rnacentral:hammerhead_ribozyme from 1 species